CCGCAGCCGACCGUUGCAACAAAAUUUUCCAGUUUCGCGACCGUCCGCUGGAGGGGAGCGGGUGGCGCGCGUCCCCGGUGAGCCGCUAGGCGGCGGCUGUGGAUGCAGGACUGCUCUGCUGCUGCUGCUGCCUGCGCCUCCACCGCGGCAGACGGCGAUCGGCUUGUCGCUCUGGCCGGUCCGCCGCCGCGCAGCCAGCAGGUGCGGCGAGGAGCUACACUACACGGUCGGCAUCUUACUCCUGCUCGACUGAUUGUUUCCACGGCGAGAUAUAUUUAUUUGUGCUACGGCGAAUUGCAUUCCCCACCUCCACGGUCUGCUGUGCGAUCAUCAGCUUUAUGCGCUUGCCAGGUUCAUUCGGAUGAUCUUGUAGGAUAACAUCAUCGUUGUAGGGUAUAAUUCUGGUACAUGGAUGGAUACGACCCUUGUAAUUUCACCACUCGUUAUUGUCUUCGUCCUCUAACAGAACGAAAGGAAGGAGCCUCCCUGCUUAUUACAUUAAGAAAAACACACACGCAAGAAACAGGGAGGCCUGCAUUCUAAAGGAGGUCAGGUGACGGCGUAUGUAAUACAGAGUUUUAAAACUUAUAGACCAGAUGUAUUCUUCAUCUGUCCUCACAAUACGGCAAACAACUUGCAUUGUAUAGGCGUGGGCAAUUGCAUUGUGUGAUUAUCUUAAUUGGAGAGUGCUAUGAUAUUGAUCGCUCUUUACCUACGAAGAUGUUUUAAACCACUUGCAGAAGAAGAGAGAACCACUCUAGUUUUGCGUGAGAAGAGCAGUGGCCAAUUUGGAACAAAGUUUUGUUUCGAUGGUCAUGUUAGUCCUUUAUGUACAGAAAGGGCAGUGUUUUUAGCAUACAAGAUAGUACUCUCAUUUCUUGUGUGAAUAAAAGGUUUGCUAAAGAGUGGUGUUCUUAGGAAAACUAGCAUCUUUCAAAAGUCAACCCAAGUCCAAAGAACCCAAAGUGGUCCAUGGGUCGAAGAUGUCCCAUUUUUCCAUGGUCAUGGUAUAGUGACCUCAAUCGUCCUUACAUGCAAAAGGGGCAAUAACAUUUGUAAGACAUGCCAAAGAAAAAGAAGAUAGUCCAAUCAUUGUGAAAAAGGAACGAUCACCAACA